AGGUCCGUUUCCUCUUCAGAGAUCGCCAACGGAGUGUAAUGCCAUUUAACCAAUCAGAGUUGAGCUUUGCCGUAUUCAAAUUCAUAUCUUCCGGUGAUGCGAAAACGUCAGACUACUGAGCUGUUUCUAACGUGUGUAGCAUAAGUGUAGUGUGCUAUAGUUGAGAGGAAGCUAAAAAAUAAUGGUAUUUCCCAAAUUCGGGCUGUUUUAUUUCCCCGAUACAAAGUUGGUGAGAGUACGAACAUAAUAAGAUGCGAACACAGGAGGGAAGAAUAUCGGAUAGCCUCUCGACAGCAACUUGAUAGUGAAGAUGGCUAUGUUGAAGUGUGUUUGCCUAGUCGCAGCAGACACGGAGAAGCUAAGACACUGGCGGCAAAAAUACUCUUUCUUGGAGAGAACUUUAAGGAAGUUGUAGAAAAAAAAACAGCUUUCCUCAGAAAUGAAGACAUCUGGCACAGCAGCAGCACCACAGCAGCUGUGAGGAGAGUCUGCAGAGUGUACAGUGACACAAGAUGAAGACAGACCGAAGAAAAAGAAAAAACAUGUGACAGGAUGUCACAUAAUUUCUUCAGACAAUGAUGAGACUGACAUAGAUUCAGCACAAGCCUUUGGAACGAAGAAACCAAAAAUGAUGAAGGCUGCAAACGAGAGGGUUCUUUCGCAGCUUAAGUCUUCUCUGCUGAAAAAAGGAAAAAAUUUUCCUCACAAAGUGAGGAAGAUGAUGUAGACAUAGACACCAAUAUAGACCUUUUUGAUUCACCCCAAGCUUCUAGAACAGCUGACCCCUGCUUUAGGCAACAGGAAAUGGAGUGUGGCCCGAUGAAUCAGGCACUGGAAAACAUAGACAGGCGCCAGGAAGUGAUAGAUGCAUUAAAAGAAAUACCCACCCUUAUCAAUUGUGUUAAGGAACUAACAACCACUAUGAAGCGUUUGCUACCUUCCUUCGACAGUGAUACAAGUUCAGGGUCCUCCAGUCCUGCUCCAGAAAUAGUAUGUUGGUUCCCUCUGUGCUUCCCUUUCUAAAAUAAUGACUUAUUUUUACUAUAGGCAGUAUCUUAUGCCAUAAAUGAGCCCAUGAUUUCCAAACAAGAUGAUACUCAAAUAUUCUUUCUUGGCAAAUUUCUGCUACCUGGGUGCAGUGAGGGAAGUGACAGAUGUUUCCAUGUGGCUUGUCAGGUGCUGUGUGAAGUCACAACACACAGAUAUUACUUCUUUACCAAGACUAUUUAGUUCUGAGCAUCAUCUGCUUUGAAAAUUGCUGUUUCGUUUCAUAUUGUUAUUUCUAUGUCUUCACAAUGUUAUUUUUAGCUUUUGGUUA